CGGGACAUAUAUAAAAAGACAACUUUGUUCCGCAGAGUAGCUGUUGAUAUUAUAGUUGCGCAGGCACUUUGUUGACUCUAGAGUACCUCGGGACAAUCGCACAUCCCCGUGAUGGCGACUUUGCAUUUAGAUGUCAUCCAUAUCAACGUUCGAUGCCAGUUUCUACGCCUACCAUGGUGACCACGGGUAAUGGGGAAUCAGGGUUCCAUUCCGUACAGGGACCCUGAGAAACGGCUAACACAUGCAAGGAAGGCAGCAGACGCGCAAAUUACCCACUCAUGAUGCUGAAAGGUAGUGA